rnacentral:rRNA from 1 species
AGAGUUUGAUCAUGGCUCAGGAUGAACGCUAGCGGCAGGCCUAACACAUGCAAGUCGAGGGGUAACAGGGAGCUUGCUCCGCUGACGACCGGCGCACGGGUGCGCACCGCGUAUGGAACCUACCUUGUACAGGGGAAUAGCCCAGGGAAACUUGGAUUAAUGCCCCGUGGUACCACGAUCUGGCAUCAGGAUGUGGUUAAAGCCUUCGGGCGGUACAAGAUGGCCAUGCGUCCCAUUAGUUAGUUGGUAAGGUAACGGCUUACCAAGACUACGAUGGGUAGGGGCCCUGAGAGGGGGAUCCCCCACACUGGUACUGAGACACGGACCAGACUCCUACGGGAGGCAGCAGUGAGGAAUAUUGGACAAUGGAGGAGACUCUGAUCCAGCCAUGCCGCGUGCAGGAAGAAUGCCCUAUGGGUAGUAAACUGCUUUUAUACGGGAAGAAAAAGAGCUACGUGUAGCUUACUGGCGGUACCGUAAGAAUAAGGACCGGCUAACUCCGUGCCAGCAGCCGCGGUAAUACGGAGGGUCCGAGCGUUAUCCGGAAUUAUUGGGUUUAAAGGGUCCGUAGGCGGGCUAUUAAGUCAGUGGUGAAAGUCUGCAGCUCAACUGUAGAAUUGCCUUUGAUACUGAUAGUCUUGAGUUAUAGUGAAGUUGCCGGAAUAUGUAGUGUAGCGGUGAAAUGCAUAGAUAUUACAUAGAACACCGAUUGCGAAGGCAGGUGACUAACUAUAUACUGACGCUGAUGGACGAAAGCGUGGGGAGCGAACAGGAUUAGAUACCCUGGUAGUCCACGCCGUAAACGAUGGAUACUAGCUGUCCGGGACCUUGAGUUCUGGGCGGCCAAGCGAAAGUGAUAAGUAUCCCACCUGGGGAGUACGUUCGCAAGAAUGAAACUCAAAGGAAUUGACGGGGGCCCGCACAAGCGGUGGAGCAUGUGGUUUAAUUCGAUGAUACGCGAGGAACCUUACCAGGGCUUAAAUGCAUAUUGACAGGGGUAGAGAUACCUUUUCCUUCGGGCAAUUUGCAAGGUGCUGCAUGGUUGUCGUCAGCUCGUGCCGUGAGGUGUCAGGUUAAGUCCUAUAACGAGCGCAACCCCUACCGUUAGUUGCCAGCAUGUCAUGAUGGGGACUCUAACGGGACUGCCGGUGCAAACCGUGAGGAAGGUGGGGAUGACGUCAAAUCAUCACGGCCCUUACGUCCUGGGCCACACACGCGCUACAAUGGCAGGUACAGAGAGCAGCCACGUCGCAAGGCGGAGCGAAUCUAUAAAACCUGUCACAGUUCGGAUCGGGGUCUGCAACUCGACCCCGUGAAGCUGGAAUCGCUAGUAAUCGGAUAUCAGCCAUGAUCCGGUGAAUACGUUCCCGGGCCUUGUACACACCGCCCGUCAAGCCAUGGAAGCCGGGAGUGCCUGAAGUCCGUCACCGUAAGGAGCGGCCUAGGGCAAGAUCGGUAACUAGGGCUAAGUCGUAACAAGGUA